rnacentral:miRNA from 1 species
GCUGCGUCUGACCCUGAAAUCCC